rnacentral:rRNA from 1 species
UAUGAACCGUUAUAACCGGCGAUACCCGAAUGGGGAAACCCAGUGUGAUUCGUCACACUAUCAUUAACUGAAUCCAUAGGUUAAUGAGGCGAACCGGGGGAACUGAAACAUCUAAGUACCCCGAGGAAAAGAAAUCAACCGAGAUUCCCCCAGUAGCGGCGAGCGAACGGGGAGGAGCCCAGAGCCUGAAUCAGCAUGUGUGUUAGUGGAAGCGUCUGGAAAGGCGCGCGAUACAGGGUGACAGCCCCGUACACAAAAGCGCAUGUGCUGUGAGCUCGAUGAGUAGGGCGGGACACGUGGUAUCCUGUCUGAAUAUGGGGGGACCAUCCUCCAAGGCUAAAUACUCCUGACUGACCGAUAGUGAACCAGUACCGUGAGGGAAAGGCGAAAAGAACCCCGGCGAGGGGAGUGAAAAAGAACCUGAAACCGUGU